rnacentral:tRNA from 1 species
UGGACGCCUUGAUCGGCGCCGACCUCGCGCCGUGCGGCGGCGCCGAGAUCCCGGGCGAGAUCGUCGCUCGCGGCGCUCGGC